AAGUUGUUUUGAUAUGUAUAAUUACUCAAAAUUCCUUAUUUAUUAAAAUCCUGGUAAAAUAAAUAGGAGAGGGAGUAAGGAGAAUUCCCAGAAGGCCCUGCUUCAUGGUGCCUCCCACUGGUUAAAAGGGGGCGUGACGUGUUUCCUCUUCCUCUUUCCCUGUCUCUUCGAGGAAGAGGUAACAUGGCUCUCUCAUUAACCCAAUUAAAUAGAAAAUAAUCCUUUUAUUAUUAUAUAAAAUUCCUGUAAUAAAAGUUUAAGCAUAUCAUUAUUAAUAUAUAUCAAGCAAUAUUUUAAUGUAUGAACUUCAUUUGGUUUGUGUUUUUCUUUUUAUUGUCGGGGUGCACAUGGGCAGAAUGUUGAGCUGCUACAUGCUUCUGGGGAAUUAAUACUUUGCUCUUCAUUACCAGGAAGAGAAUGUUGAGCUGCUACAUGCUGCUGGGGAAUUAAUACUUUGCUCUUCAUUACCAGAGGAAAAGACACGUGCCAAUAAAGGGACGUCGGAUCCCGAGUCCAGAGGAAGCCACGCGGUGUCGUCUCUCCCUCUCCCGCACCCACACACCACUCACAACAAAAAAAAUACACAACGCAGAGUGAGAGCAUCAGCUCUCGGACUUUAACCGGGACUAUGUUUUAACUGGACUCGCUUGGCGCGAUCGGGCCGUAAACAAAGACCCAAACGAGACUGGUUACAUUUGGUGCCGUGACUCGGAUGGUGUGUGUGUGUGUGCUGAAACCGCGCAGAGGAUCACCGCGAGGACGCUGCUUUUCCCCGUCGCGCUCUCCGGACUAACAGCUGUUAAUGACCGAAAAAAAAGUGUCGUUCAACUCAGUGUUGAAAUUUGUCCUUUUUUUUUUGGGUGACUUCAUGUUAUUUAAUGAAUCUUUUUUUUUUUUUCUUUCCCUCUCUGAUUGUUUACAUUUCCUGUAUAUUACCAGAAUGUUUAGACUGCUGACCACAUUGUGGGCUGUAGUACAAUUGUAUGGAGUAGCACGUGUUGUGCAGUUUUAUUAUUGUAGUCAUGCUAGUUAAGUGUGAGUGUUUAGUCUAACAGUGUAUUACCUUGAGUAGUUGUUUAAUCAGUUAAAGCUGGUAAUAAUCACAGAGGAUUUUUUUUUUUCCCCUUUCAACUUUCUUUUAAGUGAGUACUGACUUUCAUAUCACUGCUUGUGAUUUAUUCUUCUAGCCAUGUCAAAGGUAGGUAUGUUUAGUAUGCUGGGUUUGCCAGACACUAAUAGGAAAGUUUCACCUUGCAGUCUUGGUAGGGGACGGGGUUGGUUUUUAAACCAUGCAGGUAGAAGUGAGACUACACCCAUAGCUAGACAGCCUGAGCCAGUUCCUGUGGCUAAUUCUACCCCUGCUUCAGACUCUUCCUAUAAUCCAGUUCAAGUGAUUACUGUUGAUGCUAUGGGCAGUAUCAUAGCCGAUUUAGCCAAGCAAAUUGGGGAGAGUGUUACUGCUAACUUGUCCACCCUGAAUCACCACAGCAGUGGCCUGUCAAAGUCCCUGGGUGUUUCACAAACUCCUGGACGCCAUGAUGCUUCAGAGCUAAGGGUAGUGGUUCAGCCAAGCUCAGAUCUGCCUCCCUUCUACAGAGGUGAUGGUUCAGAUAAGUUUACCAUCCAUGAAUGGAAGGAGAUGAUGGAGCGGUAUGCUGCCAAAAUGUCGUAUGACACUCAUGGUGAAAUGUAUGAUUUU